GAAGGGACGGCGACAAAGAAAGAGGGAGGGGGUUGGGGUCCACUAAGAGUCAAAUUCAAAUCCCUUUGAGGGAAAGAAGGGGGCGGCAAGGGCUGAAUAGUAAUUUUGGUUUGAUUAAUUAGUGAUAUGCUUUAAGUAAAAGGGAAUUAGGGCUAGAUUAUGCAUGAUUUGAGUUGUUCUUUUGGAGUCUUUCUUGACGUCUUGGGCUCUAGAUCUAUCAUCUAGGGAUUGGGAGAGACGAUCCUCCUCUCGAAUUGGGAAUCAAUUGCUUCUUACUUGGCUGGAUUUUUCUAGAUGUUUCGGUUUUUGUGGGACAAUGAAGUUUGGCUCCUCACCAAUCCUGGAUGGCCACUACACUGCAUUUGUUUUUCUUACAACUCCUGUUAUGUCUUAUUUUCAUCUCUUAGAGUUGUAACUUUUGGCUUCUUUUGUAAUUAUUCAUUAUAAUAAUUAAUAAUAAAA